GAUGAACGCUGGCGGCGUGCCUAAUACAUGCAAGUCGAGCGAACAGACGAGGAGCUCGCUCCUCUGACGUUAGCGGCGGACGGGUGAGUAACACGUGGAUAACCUACCUAUAAGACUGGGAUAACUUCGGGAAACCGGAGCUAAUACCGGAUAAUAUAUUGAACCGCAUGGUUCAAUAGUGAAAGACGGUUUUGCUGUCACUUAUAGAUGGAUUCGCGUCGCAUUAGCUAGUUGGUAAGGUAACGGCUUACCAAGGCAACGAUGCGUAGCCGACCUGAGAGGGUGAUCAGCCACACUGGAACUGAGACACGGUCCAGACUCCUACGGGAGGCAGCAGUAGGGAAUAUUCGGCAAUGGGCGAAAGCCUGACGGAGCAACGCCGCGUGAGUGAUGAAGGUCUUCGGGUCGUAAAACUCUGUUAUUAGGGAAGAACAAAUGUGUAAGUAACUAUGCACGUCUUGACGGUACCUAAUCAGAAAGCCACGGCUAACUACGUG
rnacentral:rRNA from 1 species